UCCCAGCAUAAGUGUGUAAGCAGAGCAUG
rnacentral:piRNA from 1 species